UACGUAGGGGGCAAGCGUUGUCCGGAAUGAUUGGGCGUAAAGCGCGCGCAGGCGGUCCUUUAAGUCUGAUGUGAAAGCCCGCAGCUUAACUGCGGAGGGUCAUUGGAAACUGGGGGACUUGAGGCUAGGAGAGGGAAGUGGAAUUCCUGGUGUAGCGGUGAAAUGCGUAGAGAUCAGGAGGAAUACCGAUGGCGAAAGCAGCUUCCUGGCCUAGGACUGACGCUGAGGCGCGAAAGCGUGGGGAGCAAACAGGAUUAGAUACCCUGGUAGUCCACGCCGUAAACGAUGAGUGCUAGGUGUGGGAGGUUUCAAUACCUUCCGUGCCGCAGUUCACACAAUAAGCACUCCGCCUGGGGAGUACGGUCGCAAGACUGAA
rnacentral:rRNA from 1 species